rnacentral:rRNA from 1 species
UACGGAGGGUGCAAGCGUUAUCCGGAUUCACUGGGUUUAAAGGGUGCGUAGGUGGGUUGGUAAGUCAGUUGUGAAAUCUCCGGGCUUAACCUGGAAACUGCCAUUGAUACUAUCAAUCUUGAAUACCUUGGAGGUGAGCGGAAUAUGUCAUGUAGCGGUGAAAUGCUUAGAUAUGACAUAGAACACCAAUUGCGAAGGCAGCUCACUACACGGUCAUUGACACUGAGGCACGAAAGCGUGGGGAUCAAACAGG